rnacentral:rRNA from 1 species
CGGUAACAGCGAGAAAAGCUUGCUUUUUUCGGCUGACGAGUGGCGAACGGGUGAGUAAUACAUCGGAACGUGUCCGCUCGUGGGGGACAACCAUCCGAAAGGAUGGCUAAUACCGCAUGAGUUCUACGGAAGAAAGAGGGGGACCUGCUUGCAGGCCUCUCGCGAGCGGAGCGGCCGAUGACUGAUUAGCCGGUUGGUGAGGUAACGGCUCACCAAAGCAACGAUCAGUAGCUGGUCUGAGAGGACGACCAGCCACACUGGGACUGAGACACGGCCCAGACUCCUACGGGAGGCAGCAGUGGGGAAUUUUGGACAAUGGGCGCAAGCCUGAUCCAGCUAUUCCGCGUGUGGGAUGACGGCCCUCGGGUUGUAAACCACUUUAGUAGAGAACGAAAAGGAGCUAUCGAAUAAAUAGCUCUGCUGACGGUACUCUAAGAAUAAGCACCGGCUAACUACGUGCCAGCAGCCGCGGUAAUACGUAGGGUGCGAGCGUUAAUCGGAAUUACUGGGCGUAAAGGGUGUGCAGGCGGCUGAGUAAGACAGAUGUGAAAUCCCCGGGCUUAACCUGGGAACCGCAUAUGUGACUGCUUGGCUAGAGUGCGUCAGAGGGAGGUGGAAUUCCACGUGUAGCAGUGAAAUGCGUAGAUAUGUGGAAGAACACCGAUGGCGAAGGCAGCCUCCUGGGACGCAACUGACGCUCAUACACGAAAGCGUGGGGAGCAAACAGGAAUUAGAUACCCUGGUAGUCCACGCCCUAAACGAUGUCAACUAGUUGUUGGGGAUUAAAAUUCUCAGUAACGCAGCCAACGCGUGAAGUUGACCGCCUGGGAAGUACGGUCGCAAGACUAAAACUCAAAGGAAUUGACGGGGACCCGCACAAGCGGUGGAUGAUGUGGAUUAAUUCGAUGCAACGCGAAAAACCUUACCUACCCUUGACAUGUCAGAGAAGCUUUUGUAAUGAGAGUGUGCCCGCAAGGGCGUCUGAACACAGGUGCUGCAUGGCUGUCGUCAGCUCGUAUCGUGAGAUGUUGGGUUAAGUCCCGCAACGAGCGCAACCCUUGUCACUAGUUGCUACGAAAGGGCACUCUAGUGAGACUGCCGGUGACAAACCGGAGGAAGGUGGGGAUGACGUCAAGUCCUCAUGGCCCUUAUGGGUAGGGCUUCACACGUCAUACAAUGGUCGGAACAGAGGGCAGCCAACCCGUGAGGGGGAGCAAAUCCCAGAAAACCGAUCGUAGUCCGGAUUGCAGUCUGCAACUCGACUGCAUGAAGUCGGAAUCGCUAGUAAUCGC